rnacentral:rRNA from 1 species
UACGAAGGGGGCGAGCGUUGUUCGGAAUUACUGGGCGUAAAGGGCGCGCAGGCGGCUCUGAAAGUCAGAUGUGAAAGCCCCGGGCUUAACCUGGGAAUUGCAUUUGAUACUCUGGAGCUUGAGUACGGGAGAGGAGAGUGGAAUUCCCAGUGUAGAGGUGAAAUUCGUAGAUAUUGGGAAGAACACCGGUGGCGAAGGCGGCUCACUGGCCCGUUACUGACGCUCAGGCGCGACAGCGUGGGGAUCAAACAGG